CUCGCGCGUGUCAACAUCUCCGCCGACGCGCCCCGCCGUGGCAGGGCAGUCCACGAGGCCGCCGACAGAGUCCUCGCCGCCGCCGCCCGCGGCAGGACGCGCUGGAGCCGCGCCAUCCUCACCAACCGCCUCAAGCUCAAGUUCAGGAAGACACCGCACAAGCGACACAAGGUGGUUGGCCCGCCCCGCCCCAAGAAGCCCCGCUUCAGCGUCCUCCGCCUCAAGGGAAAAACCCUUCCCGCGGUUCAGCGCAAAGUUAGAGUCCUCGGCCGGUUGGUUCCCGGUUGCAGGAAAGAACCGCUUCCGAUCAUUCUCGAAGAAGCCAUCGAUUACAUACCUGCGCUCGAGAUGCAGGUUCGCGCCAUGGCGGAUCUCGCUCAGUUACUCCUCGGCUCCUCCUCUUCCUCCUCCUCCUCCUCCUCCGCCGCCGCCGUAUCCUCCUCCGCGCCGCCGAGUUGAUCCACCUUCCGGCGACUGUGCCGCGUGUCAUAUAUUUUUCUCUCUUGAUUUUUGUUAUUAUUUGCCUCGUUUUCACCCUCACUCGUCUCGGCUUAUGUUAAUUGUCCAGUAC
rnacentral:lncRNA from 1 species